CCUACGGGUGGCAGCAGUGAGGAAUAUUGGUCAAUGGACGAGAGUCUGAACCAGCCAAGUAGCGUGAAGGAUGACUGCCCUAUGGGUUGUAAACUUCUUUUAUAUGGGAAUAAAAUGUUCCACGUGUGGGAUUUUGUAUGUACCAUAUGAAUAAGGAUCGGCUAACUCCGUGCCAGCAGCCGCGGUAAUACGGAGGAUCCGAGCGUUAUCCGGAUUUAUUGGGUUUAAAGGGAGCGUAGGUGGAUUGUUAAGUCAGUUGUGAAAGUUUGCGGCUCAACCGUAAAAUUGCAGUUGAAACUGGCAGUCUUGAGUAAAGUAGAGGUGGGCGGAAUUCGUGGUGUAGCGGUGAAAUGCUUAGAUAUCACGAAGAACUCCGAUUGCGAAGGCAGUUCACUGGACUGCAACUGACACUGAGGCUCGAAAGUGUGGGUAUCAAACAGGAUUAGAUACCCGUGUAGUC
rnacentral:rRNA from 1 species